ACGAGAGCUGCUCGGUCCUCCCAACCCCUGCGUUUCUCUACCUGUGUGUCCUUUCUGCAUUCACUGCCUCUCCCACUUGAGGUCCCAGCCCAUGCCUUGCAGGCCAAGGCAGGUGGAGUCCGAUGUGGACGAAUAAACGAACAUAAGUACGGGAGAACUACAAAGGAUAAAGCCACUGGACACUCCUGAAUUCAGGCCCAGAACUGAAAGAAUCAUCGCUAAUCAGUGUGAGUUCUAGCUCGACUCAUGAGACCACUUGAUGAUGGAACAACUAGAGGACAAGCCGCUAAAACAGAUACAGAAGAGGAUGCAGGACCUGAAUCUGGACAAAGUACCAAAGAAAGCAAAGAAAAA